rnacentral:rRNA from 1 species
AGAGUUUGAUCCUGGCUCAGGAUGAACGCUGGCGGCGUGCUUAACACAUGCAAGUCGAACGGUGAACACGGAGCUUGCUCUGUAGGAUCAGUGGCGAACGGGUGAGUAACACGUGAGCAACCUGCCCCUGACUCUGGGAUAAGCGCUGGAAACGGCGUCUAAUACUGGAUAUGUGACGUGAUCGCAUGGUCUGCGUCUGGAAAGAAUUUCGGUUGGGGAUGGGCUCGCGGCCUAUCAGCUUGUUGGUGAGGUAAUGGCUCACCAAGGCGUCGACGGGUAGCCGGCCUGAGAGGGUGACCGGCCACACUGGGACUGAGACACGGCCCAGACUCCUACGGGAGGCAGCAGUGGGGAAUAUUGCACAAUGGGCGCAAGCCUGAUGCAGCAACGCCGCGUGAGGGACGACGGCCUUCGGGUUGUAAACCUCUUUUAGCAGGGAAGAAGCGAAAGUGACGGUACCUGCAGAAAAAGCGCCGGCUAACUACGUGCCAGCAGCCGCGGUAAUACGUAGGGCGCAAGCGUUAUCCGGAAUUAUUGGGCGUAAAGAGCUCGUAGGCGGUUUGUCGCGUCUGCUGUGAAAUCCGGAGGCUCAACCUCCGGCCUGCAGUGGGUACGGGCAGACUAGAGUGCGGUAGGGGAGAUUGGAAUUCCUGGUGUAGCGGUGGAAUGCGCAGAUAUCAGGAGGAACACCGAUGGCGAAGGCAGAUCUCUGGGCCGUAACUGACGCUGAGGAGCGAAAGGGUGGGGAGCAAACAGGCUUAGAUACCCUGGUAGUCC